rnacentral:tRNA from 1 species
GGUUGUGGCUCAGUGGUAGAGUGCUCGCCUAGCACAUGCGAAGCCCUGGGUUCAAUCCUCAGCACCA